CACGGAAUGUUAAAUUUCCCGUUACUCGACACCAGACCGUGGGGACGGAGGGAAGUUACCUCUCCCCAGAGCUGUACUGGCAAGCGCACAAAGGUGCUCGCGUCGCCUCGCAGCUGGAGCCGCGCUACCUCGCUGCAAUUACCCAGCGCAGCGUUUCCUAUUCACAGACACUGAAUUAAUCCUUAGUCAAGAAUAGAUUUUUUUUUUUUACGGUUUUGUUUUCGUAGCCGCAUUUUCCUCAUUAGAAACAAAGUUUUCUUCCCCCUUUCCCCUCCUCCCCCUCCGUUUCGCCUAUCACAAUUUUAUCAUCCAUUAAAAUAAAGGGUGGGGUGGUGUAUUUUUUUUCCUUUCUUUUAAGCGCCAACGAUCGUUCAUUUAAUCAUCCCGAGUAAUUUUCGUCACCCAGAAACAGACGUGAUUUAUUUAAAAAUUGGGCUAAUGUCGUGCGAAGCUUCCCCGCUUGGGAAGGGCCGGCGGCGGAGCGGCCGGAGGCGGCCGGCCCGUGCUGGCCGGGACACCGCAGGGCUGCCCCUCCCGCCGGGCACUGCUGCCAGCCCACGGCCCGGGAACUUGGGGUUUCCCCGAAUGCCGUGGGAAGCGAGGACGCGGCGCUCGGCGGAGCGAGGAGCGCAGCUCGGCCGCGGAGCGCCCGGCGGGUGUCACUUCACGGGGCGGACUGGGGAGGUGUUGGGGGACAGGCGGAAUGAGAGCCUGUAAAGGGGGUGAAGGGCUCACCCGAAAGACCCACGAUACCGGCGGAGAGGAGAGAGAGGAUCGGGGCAGCACAUGGGAUGGGCAGGAAUGAGGUUUCUGUGUUGGCGAGGCAGGGCUGAGAAGGGAAGGGAAGCAGCAAACUGCCUGGCUUAUUUCGGGUGCUGAUGACGACCAAAUCCCAAACCCUUCUCUCAGGGAAAAGUCAGUUGAAUGUCGGUGAUUCUUCCGAGGCUGGGCUGUGGUUUGAGACUUAAGAACAGGUUGCAAGUACUCCCCGCUGUAGCGAGCAACAAAUGUCUCGAUUUGUUCUUGCUUUGGAAAGAAUAUUUGCUGACCAUCAAAAUGCAACAGUUGCUGCUUGUUUUGACCUUUUCUGUGGGGCAUGCUUCUUGCUUUUGAGAGUCCUGAAGUCACAAACUACCUGGCUGUGUCUUUGCAGGAGGCCAGUUUUACUUGGCAGGAGAAGGUUAUAGUUAAUAUCGGAAUGGUUAUCCUGACUACUGUCAGUGGCCUAGGAGAUGCCUGGAAGAUGGUGAGUGCAUGGUGAUUCCUUCCUGGGAAGAUCUCCUUGUUCCAGGGAUGUGAGAUACCAGGAGGCCCUGAACCACACACAGUGGCUGAAAUAUUUCACAGUAUCCUCUGUAACCUUGUGGAUGUGCUUGUGUGCAUACUGUAAAACAAACUGAGGAACUCCUGGACAGGUGUAAGAUGUGAUUCUUCAUUCCAGGAAACCCUAAAAGGAUGUUCCUUUGCAUGGAAAAAGGCGAAGAAACAGUGAAAAAGGAGAAGUCCACACUGGGAGAAAAACUAUUUUAUAUAGCAUAAUAAUCUUGUCAGGAAACAGAAAACAAAGUCCUGCCCCAUCUCAAGCUGUGGCAAACCUUGAACUCACAAGAAACAAUAAGCUCAAACCAUAUAAGAGAAAGCGACUCAAACUUUUGAUAUUAAAAAAGAGGAUCUGUAAUUCUGAAGUGAUUUGCAAAUCUGCAUUUAGGACCACUCAUCCAAGAUAAUGUGGAUUUUCCCAACCAUUUGGAAGGUGGUAUAGUGUGAUCAUGCUAAGGAAUUCAUGCUGGAUUAAAAAUGUCUCCAAAGAAGCUGCCCUGUAUGAACUUCUAAUGGAUAUGUGGAGAGCAGUGUGUUCCUUGCAUGCUCUGUGGAAAAGCCUAUCAAAACUGUAGAUAUGAGAGAUUAAUUGAGGAAAGGUUUUGAGGGAAAGCACAAUGGUCAACUCCAACAGCUACAGAGUGGCUCAAAAAUUUGAAUCAAAUUCUCCAAAUUUGAUUCAGACUUCAGAAUGGCCCCGAGACCAAGGAAUAUAGGAAACGAAUGAAAACACAGAAAUAUUGGAAGGCCAAAAAGGCAAGAAGGAUUCAUGCAGAAACUCAACUGUCUCUGAUAUCAAGAUUAGCAAUGAGAUUUGUCCUGCUGCUUCUCAGGCUCACUGGCUGUUUCAGAGUAACGAGAGGAUAAAUUCAAUACUGAUCUAUCCACACAAUGACACCUUUGAGGGUCUGAGAGAAAGUUCCAGUCAAAUCCACAUGCAUUAAGGGAACAGAAAUCUGAGAGGCCUGGAAACUGCACAGUACACCUGGAAAGGUGAUGAGAAUGUAACACAGGGCAGCAUGGGAGGAGGAAAGAACACCUUCUCUGCACUCACAGCCACUGAAAUACCAAAGUGCCUUUGUAGAGCCUGAUGACAGAGCAGUUAUUUUGCUGGCACACAAAUGCAAAAUGCACAGGUGGAAUAAAUAUUGAAAAUAUUUGGAUUUAUGUUGACUGUGAUUUCACAUUGCAGUGGAGAAAGCAAAAACCCCAGAGUCAAAAGAAGCAUUAGUGAUGUUGCAAACAAAAGAUUAGUCAGCAAAUACUGACUCUGCAUCCGCAGGUGGACUCUGUGUGAGAUAAUCCAGAAUUAGAACAUUGUGAGGAUUUCAUGCAGAGAUUCCAAACACUUGUUGUAGUAGACAAAUGCCUGGCACUAGUGUACCAAAAAAAAAAAAAAAAAGGGUAGUUCUUAACUGGUUCUUUUUUAAAAGUCAUCUCCUUUAGCCUAGGGCUUUAAGAAUCAGGAUUCACUUUUCUGUGCAAGUGUGUGGAACAGCAGAACAGAAUAAGUCCAUGUAAGUCGUGGGCCCCUUACGAAAACAUGUUUUACUGUGUCAAAAGCACUUCCCACCUGAAUUCUGAAUUUAACAUUAGAAAAGUGUCUAAGUCUGGUCUUUCAGAUUUUCUGUGUUGUUUAGUACACCCAUCUAAGGCAUUUGAGUCUGAAGAACUAAGUGAAUCCCUAGGAAAAUACAAAACCUACACCUACACCUACAUUGCUAAAUACUUUUAAAAAAAAAAUAUAAUUGAAAUGGUCUUUUCAUUAACUCCUGCAUUUUAGCAGUUUCUACAGUCUUGUAAGAUUUUAAGAAAGAAGUCAACUCAGUGCUAAUACUUUUUCUUCCUUCCGUGUCAAUUUGAUACUAGAGGAAACUUCUGUGUAUGACAUCAUUGGCAUAAUUUCUGACAAGUAUGUAUAAUGAGAUUGGAAGAUAAACAGUUCUCAAAAAUAAUAUUUCUACCUCUGCAGGCAACAUUUUUUUUCUGAAAUUUGAGACUUUUACUUUAAUUUGAAAUCUCCUUUGAAAAUGCAUUUCCAGCUUCUUUCUAAAAGAUUUUGGAUGUGAUUGAGCCUUUGGUGGAAAUUUGCAAGAUACACAGCUAAAUUGUGAAGGCAGGAAAUGAAACAGCUCAGAAUCUGAAUGAACUCUGGAGCAUUUACAUUCUCAUAUUUAAAUAUUUGCCUGAAUUACAUGUGAGCUAUAACUUUUCACUCACUGCAAUUUUUUGCAUUCUCUGUAAUUAACAGUACAAAGACAAAUCAAUGUUUACAUAUUUUAAUAUAUCAACAUAUCAUGUUCAAUCUCCUGUUUCUGUGAGUUGAAAAACAUACAACACAAAACCCCAAUAACCUCUAGAAAGGAGGACAGGAAAGGGAGAGAAUAGAGAAAACCACUGACUUAAAACAAAGACAGGGACCUACUUGCAGCUCCUGAUGGACUGGUGCAAUACAAUGAAGCUGGUGUAUUCAAUAUAACUUUUAGAAUAAUUGCCUGGGAGGUAACCAGAAAAGUACAUUUUACUUUAUCAUGGUACAUAAAUAAAAGGGCAGACUAAUUAAUCAUAUAGCUUACUAAAAGUGCUUUUUAUUUUGCCAUUUAGUAUGCCAGAAAGAUCAUUUUCUUUAAUGUAUAUACCCAGUAUUAACAUGAUUUAAUCCAUCAUGUUCUGUAUUAUGAAAUUACUUUGUUUUACUCCCUGAUCCAGCUGAAGAUCAUUAACCCACACUAUUUUCUAAGUCAUACAUCAUUUGAGUGUAUUACCUCAUAUAGCAAAAAAGCUACUUCUCUUGGUUAUACACUCCAACUAAGAAAUCAUUUUUUCUGGAUGUUGCUGACAAGUAGAGCUGUUUUCAUUAGAAAGCAGAUGGUUCACUAUUUCGAUUCUGUUUUACCUUCCCAUUUGCUCAGAGUUCUUUGCUGCCAGUCACCUCAUUACCUCUUGCAACAUCCACAUCCUAUAUUCCAGACCUGUGUAUAAAAUGUGCUAAACAUGCAAGUGCUUUUCCUUCCCCCAAGACCUCCCUUUUUCACUCUGCAUCCUCACUUGUUGUAAGUCAGCCUUCAGAAAGCAGUGAAAGCGAAGGCAAUCAUCUGAACAGGAGGUUAAACCCCCACAGUUUGCAGGUGUCUGUUAGCUGAGAGUGCCAAAGGUGUCAUUUACACCUUCAGAUUUUAAGCUUGGAUGUGAAGUCACACUGCUGGUGAAUUUGCCUCAUAGAGCUUUAGGGCAGCAUCUGGCCUUCUAUAAUUUCUUGCAGUUAUGAUGUUCAUGAUAUUUUCACUGUUGUGUUCUCAGAGUCUGUAUCAUGAAUGUUCUGCUUGGGCUGCCCUGGUACCCUGAUUUGAACCUGUUCAAGCAGGCAAAAUGGCAAGACUUGGGAGGCUCAUCUUCAAAUACAUGUAUUUUUGAACCCCACGUUUUCAGAGAUUGUGCAGCGUUGUGUCCGUGAACUUCCAGAGUUUGCAUUAAAAAGUGACAGAACAUCAGAGUGCCAGAAGCUUCUCAUAUUGUGGCCCUGAAGGGAUUGCUGGAACUUGUACUGGAAAAGCCCGGUUUCACUGGCAAAGAUUUUUGCUACAGUAAGAAAAUUUGCCAGUAUGGUUGGUGGGGUUGAAAACCAAAAUAUUCUGUGAUCUGCUGAGCUGUGACUGGAGUAGAACAAACGUUCCUGUGUUCCUGCUCUGUGCCAUUCCGUCAGUCCAUCGGAGCACAGCAGUGGCUGUGCAAGCCCUACAUCCUGUCUCCUGCAGAUGUUUGCAAAAACAGGCAUAAGGCUGGAGCAAUGAAAUGAAGCUUUCCUCAUGGCAGUCUUACUAUUUCCAGCAACCUGGAGUUCAGGGACUGCUGUUUAUAUCUGCAUCAUUGUGUUUAAGAAUUUCUGAUGGGUAUUUCUUGCCUGAAUUUUCUCCAGUCACCUUCUGAACUCACACACAAUUUUAACAUCCAAAUAUAUGUUUUGAUAAAGUAGGAAACAUAUAAAGAGAUAUCUAUUUCUAUAUACCUGCUGUUUCGUAAUUUCCCAGAUUGAUCCCUAACUGAUGUAGUAUGAGAAAAGGUGACUUUAUUCCCAAUUAAUCUUUUCCAUGUUAAGGCAUGUUUUUAUAGAUUCCUCACAAAUUCUUUCUCAAGCUUUCCUGUCCUAAUCAAAGGAAUCUUAUCUAAUUAAUUUUUCAAAAACCAUUCAAAAAUGUUGUUGUCAUUAUAAUUUUUCUCUAUGUUAUUCUGUAGUACCACAGAGAUCAAACACCGAGAGGUAUUCAUGAUUCAGGGAUGCUGUGUAUAUAUAAUGUGUUUCCAUUCCUCGCCUAAGCAUUGAGUUAAUGUUUACUGUCCAUAAUUACUCUCCCACUUUGCUAAGUGAUAAUAAAUUAUUUAGGGUUGCAUACCGUGUUUCUGGUUUGGGGUAUUGUUUUCUCUUCCCUUCCCCCCACCUGUGCAAUGUUUGCUUUUGUCAGCAUCUUGUCUCUUCAGCCAUUUUCUUAACAAGUUACUCAGAGAUUCUUCACCAAGUCUUAAUCAGUUUAUGUUUUCACUGUCCUAGGUAAUAUUCUACUAGAUAUUAAAUUGUCUCCAUAAUAUGCACUCCCUCAUUUUUCUAAGUCAGUUAUGAGUAUAUUACAGCACAGGUUCCACUACAGAGCUCUGUAGGAAGGUACAUUCCCUUCAUGAUGAAAAAUCAAUUAUUUAGUCAUCAUUUAGUUCCCAACAUGUAGGAUCUAUGAGUUUGUAUGCUGAAGGAGAGGCUUUACUACUUUACCUGUCCUUUUUUUGAUUUUGUUUUUAAGUUUUGUGGUGGCUUGGAUGCAACAUAGCUCAUUCAAUAACAAAUUUGGGAAUUCAACAAGGCAUCUCACUGGCCUAUUCUGUGGACCCAUUUUGCAAGGAGCAUUCAAAGAGUCAAAUUAUAAAGUUGCAACAAAUGAGUGUCCAAUCACUGUUCUGCUGGAACAGGUUGUCCUUCAGGUGUUUUUCAGCUGCUAGGAAUGUCUACAAAACAGUUUUUUGUGAGAUUGUAAUGGGAAAUCUGGAUGGCUUCUUAGGAAAUAAUAGUUAUAAUGCUAGGUAUUGACAUUUUAGAACUUUUAAUUUAUUUAAGUAACAGUCUGUGUUAUUCUUAUUAGCAAAGUAUACAUUUACGUUAUUUACAGAGUUUCUGUAGUGUUCCUUCUCUUUUUCUCAGCCUCUAGGGACUUUCCCAGUACUGAACAAAGCAGCCGUGGGACUGAUCUAAGUGACCUGUUCUUUGCCUAAAACCAACAUCUGGGCUACAGGAAGUUAGUUUAGGAAUGUUACCCUCUUCCUUGUCAGAAUAUAGUUAGGAGAUUGCAAAUGCAUCCAUACUCCAGCUACUGCCAGCUGUCAGACAGCCCUUUUGAGUCCCGAGUUACUUGGAGCUGUUAUAGUGUUAAAGGAAAGUUACAUUUGCUUUCCCACCCUCCCAGACCAGCCAUACACCAGAUCUCUUGAACAGAUGGAUCAAUGUGAGUUCCUAGGCCCAUGGAAUUUUAGUUCAUAUUAACUGUCAAAAUAUGAGAUGGCAUAGAAAAAGUAGUUCAUUAUUUUCUCCUAAGAAAUUUUGUUGAUAGAAAUAAGCUAAUCACAGCAUCCUUUUAUUAGCACUUAUGUGGAGAUAUUUUUAAAAAGUUGAAGAGGGUGCACUGUAAGCAAUACCUCCUGUUUUUAUAACCAUCAGCUUUUGGUGAACUAAAGAAAUAAGCGUCAUUAUUAGAAGAUUCAAUAUCCAUUUCACAACAAGAAAUUCACGUCUGUGAAGGUUCUUGCUAACUCUCCAUUCUUCUAGAGAUGUACUGUAGAGAUCUCCUGAUAUAUCUGCUACAAGAAUACCUAUAAGGCACUACCUAAGACAUGCUGAUAGAAAGCUUAUUUUAUGAUACAAGUGGAAUAGUAUUUACUUGGGCUGUACCCUCAAUAUCUUCCAAGUUUACUUAUUUACUCUAUCAGAAGUUCUGCAUUUUCCUUUUACAAAACUUAGAUCUUAAGGAAAAUGUCUUGCUCUUUUUUUUUUUUUAAUGUUACAGAAUAUUACCUAACCUAGUAAGUGGAAGAAGUUACAUUUCCUAACUUUGGUCAUUCAGAGCAAAAAAUUCCAACUUUGAGUGAGCUAUCAAAGGCAAUAUGUCUGUGUCACACCUUAAUUUUGGCUCCAGGUGUCAGCUAACAAGUAGGCAACUGGCCAUGGGAUUCUCGAGCACUUUUCCCAGGUUCGAGUCUGGAGAUGAUGAAGAUCUCACCCAAUGCCAACAAGAAUGCUGCUUCCACUUGAAAAAAGCAAAUUGCUAUUUUGGUUAGAACUGGAGACUUCAAAAAUGCCACUCCUGAGCCCCAAGGUGACAGGUGGAGAAGAGAACAGCAGAGCAGGUACCCCCCCUCAUAACUACCUUCGUCAAUUAUGCAAAACCAAGCUCUGACAUAAUUGGCCUAGCAGAGGUUAUACAUAAGCUCCCUCUAGUGGAUUAUUAAGCAAGAAUUUAUAAAAGCACACAUCUUUUCUCCAAACGUUUUCUGUCACUCAGUGUGAACACGAGAAUACCACAGGCCCCAUGCUGUUCCCGUGCAACGAGCUGUUAUCUCUGUUGCCCUGCUUGCUACCUCAGGAGAGUCCGUGAAACAAUGCUGGCCAUAAACCUGCAGCUACAAAGCGAGACGACUGCAGCACUUUUUGGCUGGGCUUGCUGUUCUUCACUCCUUGGCAGGGACGCUGCAGGAGAUGCCGCCUUUCAAAGAGCAUUCCCAUCUAUGGAGCCUGAGUGUUGUCUGUCUGUCAGUCCUGCACAGUCCCUGGCUGUCAGUCCUGCUUCUCCUGCAGGCAAGGCAGUGGGCUAAUACCUAGGGCUUGUCCCAGGAAUGAACCAGAAGCCUGAGGCUGAGUGUGGAACAAAUGGUGUUCUCAGUGUGGUGUUGGGAGGGAAUUGGCUCUGCUGGUCAGAGCACGGUGCUAAUACCACCAAGGUUUUGUGGGUUCAAUACCUGUAUGGGCCAUUCACUUAAGAGUUGGACUCAAUGAUCCUUGUAGGUCCCUUCCCACUCAGAAUAUUCUGUGAAAUCUGUGAAUUGCAGUAUUCCUUUGUUUGUGUUGGCUGCCACUGAAACCUAGCAAGAGAAUGUCCUGCAUCACCCACUGUAGUGGUAUGUUUUUUAGGAAAAUCCUGUUAUGUAAUGACAAGGAUGGUGGCAGCAGUUUCACACAGCUGAAGAAAAGAGAACCAAAAAAGCAUGAAAUAUGUUGUUUGUGCUGAAAUAUCUUUGUACAUUCUGUGUUGAACAUUUUUAGUAUGUUGCAAUAGAUCUCAAAACCAAAGUAAUCCCCCAAAAUAAAUUAAGACAAGCUCAACUCCCCAGACUUCUUUUAGAUACAGGAUCUGAACAAUAAGAACAAAUGAGAGCCUUAUUCUCCAGAACACCAAGAGCCUUAUCAAAAGCUGCAGAGUUAUCUCAACUUUCACCAGUGGAAAAGCAGGCCUGAGGGUUUGGUCUAGAGAUUUGCAGCAGAAGGAUCAGAGUAAAACUCAGAAAAAAAGAAAAAAGGUAUAUUUCCCUUUUGAGUUCAAAAUGAGAACUGAGUUUAACAUAAUUUUUGAAUGAUUGAUCCCAAGCAGUAGGUUAGGAGGGGGAUGUUUUCAAGCAAUAUUGUCCCUUCCUUUCCCUUGUAUUUCUUUGUAAGUAACAUAUUACCUAUAUUAAGGUAAACUGAAUGUAUUAGCCAAUUACCUGAGGGGAUUGCAAAACUGGGGUCUGCAUUAUAAAGCAAGCCAAGUUAUGACAGCUGUGACCCCAGAGGAAUCAAGGCUGAAUAAAGACUGUCUCCAUUGCAGACAAAUGAUGAUAAAGUGAUCCUUUUAGCCAGCAGUCAAUGGAACCUGACAAGGCCAAACCUCCAACUAAUGAACAGCCCAACCUUUGCUACCAGGGAGAUGUACUGAAAGUUUAAUCUCAAUAAGCAUCAAAAUACAUUUGGCCAAACAUUUUUAACAAAAGAGUGGCACAUAUCAUUAAAUGGCCCUGAAGUUAGAUGAGUGAGGAGGAAAAUAGGAGGGUGGGGGUGUAUGUUCUUACUGUAUCACAGGUGCACAAAAUUGCCUUGAUAGAACAAUAUCUUAUUUUUCUGCUAAAAUUGAAUUUCAGAUGGUACCUACGUCACACAGACCUAAUAAUACAGAAAGCAAUUGUCUCAAUGAUUCCUAUUAAAUCUGUGCAUUUCCAGAUCCUUAUAGAGUAAUGUCAGUUACAGAACAAUGUCAGGCUGACGGACGCAGCACAGCGUUAAAGAAAAAAAAUCAUGCACACAAUAGGCCAGCUGCACAUUAAUAAAUAUGUAAUGUUUGAUUAAAAAUAUGGAUCGUAUUUUUCCCCCCAAUUGCUGACUACCCCUAAGGCAGAAGAUGUGAUCUGGCUCCCACUGAUGGGUUUAUUUCUUGCUUGCUUUGAAAAUACAAACUAAAAUGUUUUCCUGUC